GGGGGAAGUUAUUUGGAAAUAAAAAAAGCCAAGGGGGGGAUGGAGAACUGAGCGCAGGCGGAAGGACGGGUCUCGCCUGUGUUGGAAGUGGCCGAAGCGGCGGAUCUCACCUGGAGGAGGAGGAGGGCAUCGCACCGCCUCUCCCGCCGCCGCCUACAUCCCCCGUGCACAGACACGUCUGCCCGAUAUCCAUGGCUUCCUGUGCUGUGCAUGAAUUAAUAAGGUCUAAAAUUUGCAAUAACAAUACCUUUGACUGACACUGCAACGCUGAAUGAUACCUUGUCUGAUGGGCAACUAACCGCUUAUGAGAACUGCUGGAAACCUUCAGUGUGCAUAAAACAAUCAACUGAGCAAUAAAACAAAGGUGAAAGUUCUAAUGAACAAGCAUCAGAUUUGAUUAACUAAAAGAAGUUUAAGUACUCUGGGUACUCCGCUGCCUGGAUGUAAUGCUGGUGGCAGAAAGGAUAUCCCUUCCUCAUUUGGACACUUCAGCUCUUUUCCUGUUGAACUGUUUGAGAGAACAAGGGACAGGAGGCAGCCAGGGCUCUGUACGUCCAGAGGAGGAACUUGUUGGAGGCAAACUAGUCAACAAAUGAAGAGAUGAGUCAAUAAAAGUUUUGCUGAAACCUGAGGGAUGUGGACCCAGUUUAUUACAGAAGCACAGAAUCACCAGGUUGGAAGAGACUUUCAAGAUCAUCGAGUCCAACCCAUGCCCCAACACCUCAACUAAACCAUGGCACCAAGUGCCACAUCCAGUGUUCUUUUAAACACAUUCAGGGAAGGUGACUCCACCACCUCCCCAGGCAGGAGGUCAUACUAUGUUGUUGACAUACAAUGAAGUUGUUUCAUAAAGUAGAAAUGUUCUGUAGUCCUUGUUUUAUAGAAACUGCAUUUUCCUGAACAGCAAACAGCUCAUAUUAGGAUGUAAAAUAAAUGUUCAUUAAAAUGUUAUCUAUAUCUGACUGAUAGCCUGAGUAUAGAAUGAAACAAAACCAUCUACUUCCUAAUGAACUCUCUUGUGUGUGUAUGGACUUCAGCUUCCUAGCAGAUUGUCAGUCACAAAUGCAAAUUUAUCCUAGUAAAAAAAACCAAAACAACAACCAAAAAACCAAAAUCUAUUACAGGAUUGAAAAGCAAUAUCUCUUCAUAAUAUGUGACUUGGAGGGGAAAAUCUUUGAGAGAUUUUGUGACUUAACAUCUACUUGAUCAUUAAAGUUUCCUGACAUGCUAUGUUCCUACUGAA